CGCAUCUGUGCAUGCAGCAUAUCAAUAAGCGGAGGAAAAGAAACUAACAAGGAUUCCCCUAGUAACGGCGAGUGAAGCGGGAAGAGCUCAAAUUUGAAAUCUUAAAGGGUUUCCCUUUACGAAUUGUAGUUUAAAGAAGUGUUUUCUGUUGAGGUUUUGGUAAAAGUUCUUUGGAAUAGGACAUCAUAGAGGGUGAGAAUCCCGUAUUUGACCUUUACUUUCAACUUUGUGAUACACUUUCAAAGAGUCGGACUGUUUGGGAAUGCAGUCCAAAAUGGGUGGUAAAUUUCAUCUAAAGCUAAAUAUUGGCGAGAGACCGAUAGCGAACAAGUACCGUGAGGGAAAGAUGAAAAGAACUUUGAAAAGAGAGUUAAACAGUACGUGAAAUUGUCAAAAGGGAAGCGUUUGACACCAGUGUUGUUUUUCUGAAAAUCAAUUAAAGAACUGUUUAUGCUAAGUUGUUUAGACUUUAUCAGCUAACUGUUUAGUUUUGAGCUUUUCUUUAAUGCACUUUUCAGUUAACAAGUCAACAUCAAUUUCUUUUGCUGUAAAAAAGCUUGAGGAAGGUGGCUUGAGAUUCGUCUUAAGUGUUUAUAGCCUCUUGCCUAUGCAGUCGGAGAGAUUGAGGUCUGCAGCGUAGAUCCUUCGGGGCUAAAUGCAUUUGUGCUAAGUUAUAGCAUUUUAUAGACAACUUGUUGACUAUGAUUUGUCUUGUAGCUCACUCGCUUAUGUUAUUUUACCUACGCUUAGGAUGUUGAACGCGCACAGAGUCUC
rnacentral:rRNA from 1 species